rnacentral:pre_miRNA from 1 species
GAGUGUGGGAGAACAUGAUGAUGGUGAUGAUAAUAAUAAUAAUAAUAACUGUUUCAUUUAAGUAUCAUCAUCAUCAUCAUCGUGUUCAUAUUAU